UACGGGGGGGAGCAAGCGUUGUUCGGAUUUACUGGGCGUAAAGGGCGCGUAGGCGGCCACCGCAAGUCGACUGUGAAAUCUCCGGGCUUAACCCGGAAAGGUCAGCCGAUACUGCGGGGCUAGAGUGCAGAAGGGGCAACUGGAAUUCUCGGUGUAGCGGUGAAAUGCGUAGAUAUCGAGAGGAACACCUGCGGCGAAGGCGGGUUGCUGGGCUGACACUGACGCUGAGGCGCGAAAGCUAGGGGGAGCGAACGGGG
rnacentral:rRNA from 1 species